rnacentral:misc_RNA from 1 species
GAAAUGCGAUAAGUAAUGUGAAUUGCAGAAUUCAGUGAAUCAUCGAAUCUUUGAACGCACAUUGCGCCCGCCAGUAUUCUGGCGGGCAUGCCUGUCAGAGCGUCAUUUCAACCAUCAAGCCCCCGGGCUUGUGUUGGGGACCUGCGGCUGCCCGCAGGCCCUGAAAACCAGUGGCGGGCUCGCUGUCACACCGAGCGUAGUAGCAAUCACCUCGCUCAGGGCGUGCUGCGGGUUCCGGCCGUUAAACAGCCUUACAAAACCCAAGGUUGACCUCGGAUCAGGUAGGAAGACCCGCUGAACUUAAGC